rnacentral:rRNA from 1 species
GUGCCAGGCCGCCGCGGUAAUACGGAGGGUGCGAGCGUUAAUCGGAAUUACUGGGCGUAAAGCGCGCGUAGGCGGUUUGUUAAGCCAGAUGUGAAAGCCCUGGGCUCAACCCAAGAACGGCAUCUGGAACUGGCAAGCUAGAGUACAGUAGAGGAAGGUAGAAUUCCACGUGUAGCGGUGAAAUGCGUAGAUAUGUGGAGGAAUACCAGUGGCGAAGGCGGCCUUCUGGACUGAUACUGACGCUGAGGUGCGAAAGCGUGGGGAGCAAACAGGAUUAGAAACCCUUGUAGUCC